AGUGAACGCUGGCGGUAGGCCUAACACAUGCAAGUCGAACGGCAGCACAGUAAGAGCUUGCUCUUACGGGUGGCGAGUGGCGGACGGGUGAGGAAUACAUCGGAAUCUACUUUUUCGUGGGGGAUAACGUAGGGAAACUUAUGCUAAUACAGCAUACGACCUACGGGUGAAAGCAGUGGAUCUUCGGACCUUGCGCGAUUGAAUGAGCCGAUGUCGGAUUAGCUAGUUGGCGGGUUAAAGGCCCACCAAGGCGACGAUCCGUAGCUGGUCUGAGAGGAUGAUCAGCCACACUGGAACUGAGACACGGUCCAGACUCCUACAGGCGGCAGCGAUGGAGAAUAUUGGACAAAUGCCGCAAGCCUGAUCCAGCCAAACCGCGUGGGUGAAGAAGGCCUUCAGGUUGUAAAGCCCUUUUGUUGGGAAAGAAAAGCAGCAGGUUAAUACCCCGCUGUUCUGACGGUACCCAAAGAAUAAGCACCGGCUAACUUCGUG
rnacentral:rRNA from 1 species